UUUUAAUAUUAUGGUCGUCAAAUUUUAUCGAAUUACCUUGCUGUGACGGUCUACUGGACUAGUCGUGCGGUGUACCCUUCUCUGUUGAUGCAAACAUGACGUAUACCGAGAUACGAGAUUCAGAUCGUAACUAUCGAAGCGUUGAAUACGGGAUCUACACAAAUAUCGAGUCUGAUUGCUAUCGAUGUGCAGGGAGCGCCCACACAAUCAGUUCUCAAAGGUUCUACGGUUGCGAAAGAUAUUAUUCGAACAGCACCCGCUCGGUGGAAGAUUUCAGUUUCAAUUGUAGCCUUCAUAUCACACCCUCGCUGGUGACGAAUGUUGACUAUUGCAGCUCAAGCGAGUAGCACAACACAAACCAUCUACCAGGGUAGCCUCCCCCCUCCUCGAGCCCCACCACUCCGACUCCACGAAACCUAAGUUAAUCAGGUUAAACAUUUUGACGCUGUUAAUGGCAAUGGUACCGGCUGCAAUGAAGACCAACCACAUCUUGAACACGCGUCCUGGAUUGCGAUAGCCAUUUCACUACAUUCAGAUGUAAGUGAGACUCCGUCUGGUGUCUGAAGAUGGGCGACGGUAUCCAUAUUGUGAUGCCCAAGAGCCUCGAUGAAAAUUUAACCAGAUGUGCUCAUCCAGAAUAGAAAGAACCUGUGUACUUAGUGCGAGUUUUUUAACUUUCUCGAUAGCGUAAAAGUUAGCUCAUAUUUGUAUGAAAUGGGAUUGUUUGCCUACGUUUGCCAUUAGGGGCGCUGUUCCAACUGCGUACAAAAUUGGGCUAACUUUUAAGCUAUCGAAAACGUUAAAAAACUCGCACUAAGCACAUUGAUCGGAUGUUGGAGAAUCUGUUAGCAGUCAAUACAAUUUAAUUAUAAACACCGGCUCACC